UACAGAGGUCUCAAGCGUUGUUCGGAUUCAUUGGGCGUAAAGGGUGCGUAGGCGGCGCGGUAAGUCGGGUGUGAAAUCUCGGAGCUUAACUCCGAAACUGCAUUCGAUACUGCCGUGCUUGAGGACUGGAGAGGAGACUGGAAUUUACGGUGUAGCGGUGAAAUGCGUAGAUAUCGGGAGGAAUACCAGUGGCGAAAGCGGCACCCUAGCAUUUUUCUGACGCUCAUGUGCGAAAGCGUGGGGAGCGAACGGG
rnacentral:rRNA from 1 species